GAAAAAGAAAGAAAGAGAGAGAAGAAUAUCUCGUUUAUAUUUUUCAGAAGAACAUUUAUCAUUGUCGUGUCGUGAAUAGGAGAAGUAAACUACAACAACUUGUAUCACAAUUUGCAUUUGUUCACGAUUUUAUGAGUGUCUAAAAAUAAACAACUUUAUGCGACACUGACAGUCAAUAAGAUUGGGAAGCCAAUAUUUGUCAUUGUGUCGUGAAUAGGAAAAGUAGACUACAACGAUUUAGACCACGAUCGGGCGUUUAAUAUAGCAUCGCGAUAUUGAUAACAAAAGUCACAUAGAAAAGGUUGGAUAAAAAGAACUACGAUUUCGAAUUUUAUUAAAAUUUAGGUAGGAAAUCUCUAAAUAAGUAUUCAUGAUGCAAAAUUUUCUUAAUUAUUUAAACAAAAUAAUUAUAAAUAUAAUUAUACCAAUGUUAUUACUUGCUUUUCUUUGUGUUGGGCUGGUAAUGUUUUGCCUGAUAACUGCUUACAAUUCGAUAUGCACUAGAAAUGGCCGUUACGUAGCAAGGCGGUAUUUUCAGAGAUAUUUUAGACGCAUUGAACAUCAGCAAGAUUAUAUUCGAAAUAAUCAAUGGAAUAAUUCUCGCCUUAUGAAUGGACAUGCAUUCCAAUUCCAAUAAGUAAAAUGUAGACAGUAAAUAAUACACACAGUUUACUUCAUUACAUUUUUUGUACAUUUUUUGGUACAUUUUUUGAGACACAUUAGAAAUUAGUUUAAUCAAGAGGACAAACUUUAAUUUAAAAAAAAAGGACAUUGAUGUUUUGCACAUUGCCGCAAUAAUUCACUUGUUUAUGAUAAAUCUUAAUAAGGUCUCUUAAAUCUAUUAUGAAACCCGAUUCUCAAUUUCAAGUCAUCUAAAUUAUGCAUAAUUGUUACGCAUAAUUAAUUUUUAAGAUAAGAUAUUUUUAAAUAAAUAAGUAAUGAAGUGACGAAUAGAAAAAUUGCUGCAACAUAAAUAAUUUUAACUUCUAAUUAGUUUUUUUAAUGAAAUUUAAGCUUAUUAACAUACAAAUAUAAAUUUAAAAAAUUUUAUUACAUUAACACGGCUGACUUACUUUAUGCUUAUGGUUUAUUUGUAAGGAAAUAUUAACAUAUGUGAAAAUUUGGUAUACAUCUAUACAGGGUGUAUCUGAA